UCGGGAUAGCUCAGCGNGGYAGAGCAAAGGACUGAAAAUCCUCCG
rnacentral:tRNA from 1 species